rnacentral:rRNA from 1 species
CCUACGGGAGGCAGCAGUGAGGAAUAUUGGUCAAUGGGCGGGAGCCUGAACCAGCCAAGCCGCGUGAAGGAAGAAGGCGCCAGGCGUCGUAAACUUCUUUUGUCGGGGAACAAAGGGCGCCACGUGUGGCGUUGUGAGUGUACCCGAAGAAAAAGCAUCGGCUAACUCCGUGCCAGCAGCCGCGGUAAUACGGAGGAUGCGAGCGUUAUCCGGAUUUAUUGGGUUUAAAGGGUGCGUAGGCGGUCCGGAAAGUCGGCGGGAAAAGCCCGGGGCUAAACCCCGGAGAGCCGUUGAAACUGUCGGACUAGAGACGGCGAGAGGUACGCGGAAUGCGCGGUGUAGCGGGGAAAUGCAUAGAUAUCGGGCAGAACUCCGAUUGCGAAGGCAGCGUACUGGCGUCGGACUGACGCUGAGGCACGAAAGCGUGGGGAUCGAACAGGAUUAGAUACCCUGGUAGUC